rnacentral:rRNA from 1 species
GAUGAACGCUGGCGGCGUGCCUAAUACAUGCGAGUCGAGCGAACAGACGAGGAGCUUGCUCCUCUGACGUUAGCGGCGGACGGGUGAGUAACACGUGGAUAACCUACCUAUAAGACUGGGAUAACUUCGGGAAACCGGAGCUAAUACCGGAUAAUAUAUUGAACCGCAUGGUUCAAUAGUGAAAGACGGUUUUGCUGUCACUUAUAGAUGGAUCCGCGCCGCAUUAGCUAGUUGGUAAGGUAACGGCUUACCAAGGCGACGAUGCGUAGCCGACCUGAGGGGGUGAUCGGCCACACUGGAACUGAGACACGGUCCAGACUCCUACGGGAGGCAGCAGUAGGGAAUCUUCCGCAAUGGGCGAAAGCCUGACGGAGCAACGCCGCGUGAGUGAUGAAGGUCUUCGGAUCGUAAAACUCUGUUAUUAGGGAAGAACAAAUGUGUAAGUAACUAUGCACGUCUUGACGGUACCUAAUCAGAAAGCCACGGCUAACUACGUG